rnacentral:rRNA from 1 species
CGGCAGCCCUAGUGGUGGCCGCUUUUAUUGGGCCUAAAGCGUCCGUAGCCGGAUAGGCAAGUCUUUGGGUAAAUCCUACGUCUUAAGCGUGGGAAUUCUAAAGAUACUACCUGUCUUGAGGCCGGGAGAGGCUAGAGGUACUCCUGGGGUAGGGGUAAAAUCCUAUAAUCCCAGGGGGACCACCGAUGGCGAAGGCAUCUAGCUGGAACGGGCCUGACGGUGAGGGACGAAACCCAGGGGAGCGAGCCGGAUUAGAUACCCGAGUAGUCC